rnacentral:rRNA from 1 species
AAUGAACGCUGGCGGCAUGGAUUAGGCAUGCAAGUCGAACGGGGCGCCCUCGGGCGCCUAGUGGCGAAAGGGUGAGUAACACGUGAGCAACCUGCCCCCGAGUCCGGAAUAAGCGGUGGAAACGCCGUCUAAUGCCGGAUGCGGACCGCGGCCUCCUGGCCGCGGCUCCAAGGAUUUAUCGCUUGGGGAUGGGCUCGCGCCCCAUUAACUAGUUGGCGGGGUAAGCGCCCACCAAGGCUACGACGGGUAGGUGGACUGAGAGGUUGGUCACCCACACUGGGACUGAGACACUGCCCAGACUCCUACGGGAGGCUGCAGUCGAGAAUCUUCCGCAAUGGGCGAAAGCCUGACGGAGCGAUGCCGCGUGAGGGAAGAAUGCCUUCGGGUUGUAAACCUCUGUCACCCGGGACGAAGCAAUGACGGUACCGGGAGAGGAAGUCACGGCUAACUACGUGCCAGCAGCCGCGGUAACACGUAGGUGGCGAGCGUUAUUCGGAUUCACUGGGCGUAAAGGGUCCGCAGGGGGCCUGCAAGUCUUGUC